rnacentral:lncRNA from 1 species
UUGACUACCUAAACGGUGCCUUGAGAAAACAAAACUUUAAAGCUGUUCCUAGAAAAUCAAAAUCACCUAAAAUAAAAAAUGAACGAACAUAUGAACCCUUCAUCUCCUCUCUUCUUCAUCAAACAGCAAAACUCCCUUAUCAGCCAUUCAAGAGACCUCUUAUCUUCCAAAAUCUUACUUUCUUGAUUUCACAGUCUCUCUUCAGAACACGAGUUCAUCGGGCGCACCAUCACCUCAAACCCGGACUCGACUUUUCUCUCAUACCACUGUGCCUGUUAUUUCUCCUUUCUUGAUUUACCAGAAACUCUACUGCAUGCGGUGCUUCCUCAAUCCAAAAUCAAGGAUGCUCGUAUCGUUCUCCAUAUUUCGCCAUCGCAUGAGCCACUUUAUUAGCUUCCCUCGGUAUAUGCUUAAAACUCAGUCUUCUAAAUCUACGUCCUUUUUCCUUAAUCUCUUUAAUCAAACUGCGGAUGCACUACAUUUUAAAUUAAAAGUAUGUAGACAUCGAAGUGAACACAAGUUCUUACUUAAGAAAUAUUUUUGAAUUGGGUAAACUAUUAAAAUAGUCAUUUUUGUUUUCCUCAAGUUAAAUUUUAGUCAUUUAUGUUUGAAAUAUUAUGUUUUAGUCACUUACGUUAACGUGUUGUAACAUUUUAGUCACUGAGUUGUUAACUGUGUAAUGAUAAGCUGACAUGGCACGUUAAAUCACCAUUUCAAACAAAAAUUUUAGGUUAAAUUAUACAAUUGGUCCUCAUAUUUUUUUUUGUUUUGAGCAAUUUAAUUUUUUUUUUAUUUUUAUAACUUUCAUUUUUUUCUCUAUUUUUCAUUCUCUUUUACUUUUCCAUCUAUUUUCUUCUCUUCCCCGUCUCUUUUAACGUAAAAUAAAAUUAAAUUAAAUUACUCAAAACGAAAAAAAUAUAGGAACCAAUUGUAUGAUUUAAUCUAAAUUUUUUAUUUAAAGUGAUGAUUUAAAAUAUCAUGUUAGCUUACGUUAACAUAAUUGAGUAAAAUAUAAUAUUUCAAAUAUAACCUCAGACAGCAAAAGUAUUUGGUAGUUUACCCUUUUGGAUUUUGCUUACAUUUCCUCCGCUUCAAUUGCUUACAUUUUGAUACGCUUAUACCGAGAACUAAAAUGGGGGACGAGGCAACACGUCUUUUGCUUCCACGUGGCAGUCUGUGAUAUAUUUUUAAACUAAUUUAUUUUCAUUGCGUUUAAUAAUUAAAAUAUAUUAAAUUAUUUUUAAAAAUUAACUGAUUUAAUUUGUAUAAUUAUACUUUCAGUUAAAAUUUAUUUUUAAAAUUUAAAUUUAAAAAUUUUAUAUUUUAGAUAAGUAAAAAUAUAGUUUUAUUGUAAAAAAAAUUUUGAUUUUAAAAUUUUGAUUUUAAAAUUCAAUGAAUAAUUGAAAUUUAAGUAAUUAUAUAAGAUAAGAAUUUCAAAAAUAAAAUUUGGAAAUUUUGGAUAUUGCUUUUUCUUUAGAAUUUGAGUGAAGAAAAUAACAUUUCAUAUAUAAAAUUUGUUUUUCUGUAAAGUAACAAAUUUGAUUUUUUUUUUAAAUAAUAAGUUUGGUUAAAAAUUAAUACCAAUUGGAGUUUCCAAAUAAAUUUUGUAAUCAUAAAAUGAAGUAAUUUUUUUGAAAAAAAUAUGGAGGAACAUACUUUAAAUUUCGAAAUGAAAGGAAAAUUAAAUAUAAAGAAAAAAAAUAAAAGUAUUUAUAGAAUACUUUCAAAAAAAAAUAUUUAUAGAAUAACUGACUCUUCUCAAAAUAAUUGUGAUAAAUAUAAAUUUUCUUUAUCUCAAUAUAUGUCCUUUGUAGUUUUUAACUUUAACUAUUUAAAUCUAAUUGACUAAAAAAUAUUUAUAAUACAUAAUUUGCAAAAUUGUUGAAAAAAUCACGUAAGAAAAUAUAAGUCCAAAUCAAAUUUGGUAAUAAUAAAAAAUAGAUGAUGUUACAUUAAAAAUAAAUAAAUUUGAUAGCAUAUUUUUUAAAUAAUUAAAAAUAUAAUUCUAAAUUUUGAAAUGAAAUUGAUUAUGUAUUUUUUAAAAGGUUAAAUUUAGCCAUUAAUCUUAUAUUUUUUGUCAAUUUGGCUCUUAUUCAUUUUUUUUAACUAAAUUUGACCUUCAACCUUUUAAAAAUAGUCAAAUUUGACAAUUAACUUUUCGAAAAAGAAUCGAAAUGAUGUAUUUUAAUGAGAAUACUAACUAAAACAUUAAAAUUUUAAAUAUGCAAGCAUGCAUGACAAUCCACACGUAUUUUAUGCUUUUUUUUUGAAUUUUUAUGAAAUUUUUAUGUUUUUUAAUUUUGAUUUAUUUUUUUAUUUUUAUAAAUUUUAUUUGCAUGACAUAUAAGACAUAUGGUAUGAUGUUAGCAUAAUGUGCACAUUGAUUACCACGCGAGUUACCAUGCUAACAACAUGGUAAAAUCUAUUAAUAGAUUUUAUAUUUUUAAUUUGAAAUUUUGGUAAAUAUUUGAAAAUUAAGUAGAUAAAAUUUGAAAAUGUUCAAUUCUAUGUUUUUGAAACAUUUUAAUGCUACUUUUCAAAUUAUUUGCUCAUGUGUCAUUUAAAGAGGUCAUUUAGGUAGUCAUAUACCUUGUUAUAUAUAUAUAUGUAUGUAAAUAUAUAUAUUACAUUUACAAUAAAAUCGACUUAUUCUAGCUUAAAAUCUGAUGAGUGAAUUUUAAAAAAAAAAAUUGGGAUGUGUUUGGAUAAAAAAAUUUUAAAUUUGAUCUAUGUUUUUAAAACUUAAAAAUUAAAUUUUCUGUCAAAUAGACUUUUGAAGAUAUAUGUACUUUGUAGAUCGGAGAUCAGAAAAAAAAUUUCUAUUUAUUUAUUUUUUAUGAAAAAUAUUUUUUCUAUUAUUAAAUGGACUAAUCCUUAAAUUUCAACAUAGAUAACAUUUAAGUGUUUGUUUUUCUAAAAUAAAGAAGCUUGAAAAGCCUAGAUUAUAGUAACUGUAGAACUGCCCUCCAAUUCCCAUGCAUCCUGGUGCAAUAAGCUCAUAACAGUGUCAGGAGGAUCUUCAAACAUUUCGCAAAGAAAUCAGCAACUUUAUUUAGAUUCCGAUUUGUAUGAGAAAAGAUUCAGCUACCAGUUACGAUUAGAUAAAGCUUGAAUCUAAUCUAAUUUCGGUCUCACCAUUUGAUGAAGCUACAAAUUGUUUGAAUUGGUAAGGCAUUGUCGCUUUCAGCCUCCAUCUUCCGAAAUCUCUUUGACCAGGCCAAUUGAAGCCCCUCUACAAGUGUUCUCGUUUCCGCCUAGAAAACAGUGGUUCCCGACGACGAAUCCCUUAGCACGUCCGUUGAACUGUCCCAGUUAACUUUUAUCCAACCAGCGUUGGGCUGUCUCCAGUGAGUUGAAUCCACCAGAUCCAAAACUGUUGUACUCGAAAAACUUCUGGCCUAUAACACAUUGUUCAUCAAAAUAUCCCUACUGUCAUUAAAAUUAAAAUCAUUUCAACUUUUCCAAAGCAUCCAACAGAUAAUAGGAAAUAAAGAGCUCCAAUCGGUGCUCUCAAUAUUAAACGAGCCGGCGUUGUUUAGAUUCCAAACUAAUUAGUCCUGAGCUACAAAGCACAGUCGAACAUAGAGAAUAUUACGCCUUAUACCAGAAAGCAAACGGACAGUCAAGUAACACAUGAAGACAAGCCGUCAAUAUCUUCCCAAACGAGGGUUUUUGCAAUUUCAGUUCUCAACUCAUUCAUCAGCAGCUAUGAUGAAUUUCUAUUUUUCUUUCAAAUUUUGUUUUAAGUUUUUCUCAUUCUUUAUUCGAAGAAGGGUAUACGAAACACUUUAAU